GGGAUACCUGUUUAGGUGAGGAAAUGUUUAUAAUUAUAAGUUAUUUUCUUUUCCUUUAAUUCCCUUCCCAAGUGCCGUUUUCCCCAAACCCGACGCCGAUCUCCUCCUCCCCGAUUCCCUCUGCCCGAGCCCCUCUCCGGCGAUUUCUCCUCUCCGCCUCUCGGUGUCGCCGGCGCAAGCAACCACCGGAGCUUUGCAGGGCGGGUUCUCCGUCCUCUCCCUCUUGAGGUGUGGAUCCCUCCUCCCUUCCUCUCCCUCCUCUUCCUGCCCUAGAUCGCCGACGGAGAGGUCUCGUCCACUGCGAUUGAGUUCUUGCUGAGUUACCGGAGAUAGGACGUUGGAGCUCGAAGGGUACCAAUCAUCUCCGGCAGAGUAGGCAUCCUGGUGGUUGUUUCUUGCGAGCGAUCGAGGUGAUCCGGCGGAGCUAGGGCACGGCAGCGGGGGAAUUGGUUCGCAUCUCUCUCGGUAGAUUGAGCUCUCUCAGUUCUUCUCCUCUAUCUGUUCACUGGAGUUUGACUUGCAACUCCAAAAUUGCUGGAUCGAAGUGGGCGACAUCACCAGGGAGAGUUUAAUUGAGAGGAAGCAUUGGACCAGUAUGUGGUGGAUCUUCCCAGUUGCCGGUCACUGCCAAGUCCAUUUCUUGGAGUUGUGGAGGUCUCGGCUGAAGAGUUAGGGAUCUGUUUGAGCUUCUGGCAGUGGGUUGUAGGGUUGUUAGCUACUGGUUUGCUGCCAUCCCUCAAGGUAAGUGUCUACCACUAGUUUUCUUCUUAGUGUGAAAUUGAUUCAUGGUUAAGGAAUUGGAAUUUAGCUUUGAUAUAUUGAUUUGGAUUGAAUCUUGGGCUGGUUAGCGGAUUUAGAAGGCUUUGUGAUGAGUUUGGAUUAGUGUUUGAUUGAUGAUGAAUUAUGUGGAAGAAUUUUGUGUGUUGGAUUUAUGAUGUUUGGUGGUCGAUCAAAUGGAUUAAAUGUUUAGGAUUUGGAAUUUGAUUGUGAUAAGUCGAUUCGUGAUGGUUAUUUAGUAAAUGAUUUAUGUAAAUAGACACAUGAUCGUUAUUGGUAUGUGUUGGAGUGAUUAGGGUUUGUAUUGGGUUGGUAUUUGUGGAUAUAGUGAUUGGUUAAUAUAGAUUGUUAUGUGAUCAUUCUUUGGAUUAUUGGAUUGAUUGUUGGUUGGGUUUUAAAUAUGAUGAGAUUGAUUAUCAGAUUUGUUGGUUAGAGGUGGGUCAUGAGGAUGAUUAUGCAUGUUUGAUGUAUGAUGUGUGGUGGAUAAUAAUGGGAUGUAAUGGAUGGAUAAUUUUCUGAAUUAGAGUAGUGUCCAUCUUGGAGUUUGUAUUAUGUUAUGGUUUGAUUAAUUAGGGGUUGGUUGCAUUUGAUGAGUUCAUGAUUGUUAUUAAGGAUCAUUGGAUUAUGUUUGGAUUUAGGAAGAGUUGAAUUUAAGGAUGUGCCUAUGAUUUACUUUGGGUUGGAUCAUUAGGUGGAAACUAAACAGGGUUACCUAAUCGACGUAGGAUUAGGUAUUGGGUUUAGUUUGUUGUUGAUUAUGUGAUUAGCUAAACAUUAUAUAUAUACCGUGUGA